UUAGGGAACGCUGCUCCGCUUCGCCAUCAACUCCUAUGACAAUUGGAAGCAGCACGCGAGUGCGCUAUGAAAAGCAGAAUCACAUGUUUUUUCUGAAGCUUUGAACUGAACACACCUGCAAGCAUGCCGAUCCUAGCGCCUGCAAAACGAGACGCGCUCGCUGUAAAGAAUCUUAGAGUUACGCCGUCGAUGCGUAGUGCCUUGACCAAACCAACGGAGACACCCCACACUUACGCGCACAAACGUCGAGCGUCUGAGCAGUGGCAAUCUGUGCUUUCGAUCCGGUGAAUUAAAGUUUCGGAAGGUUUGAUACGGUUACAUGCGGCGAAGCUCAUCGGUUGCAGUCAGUUGCCGG
rnacentral:misc_RNA from 1 species